GAACUGUCGUCCAAUUGGUUUGCAAGUCCGGUUUAAGUGACAGGCCAUCAAAAAACUGUACAGCAUGACUGAUUCGGAGACGGCCCUCAACACUCGCCCAGUCGUGUCGAGAGGAUCGGUGUCUUUGCAGAUUACCCGGAAUUGAGCACCCGGACCAGACUGACACUUUCCGGAGCCUGUCCGAGACGGAACUCGAGCCGAGGAAUCAUAGGUUCAGGCGGUGUCGAAAUGGGUCUAUAGCUCUGCCUGAACUGUCGUUUAAAUGGUUUACAAUUCCGGCUGAAGUGACAGGCCAUCAAAAACUGUACAGCAUGACGUCGCUGUCGUUCUCAAAC